ensembl:rRNA 5S_rRNA 5S ribosomal RNA
GUCUAUGGCCAUACCACCCUGAAUGCACCUAAUGUUGUCUGAUCUUGGAAGCUAAGCAGGGUUGGACCUGGUUAGGUCUUGGAUGGGAGACUUUGGAGAGAAAUGUCACAAGCU